rnacentral:rRNA from 1 species
UACGGGGGGGGCAAGCGUUGUUCGGAAUUACUGGGCGUAAAGGGCUCGUAGGCGGCCAACUAAGUCAGACGUGAAAUCCCUCGGCUUAACCGGGGAACUGCGUCUGAUACUGGAUGGCUUGAGUUUGGGAGAGGGAUGCGGAAUUCCAGGUGUAGCGGUGAAAUGCGUAGAUAUGCGGAGGAACACCGAUGGCGAAGGCAAUCCCCUGGGCCUGCACUGACGCUCAGGCACGAAAGCGUGGGGAGCAAACAGG